GAUGAAGAACGUAGUGAAAUGCGAUAAGUAGUGUGAAUUGCAGAAUUCAGUGAAUCAUCGAGUCUUUGAACGCACAUUGCGCCCCCUGGUAUUCCGGGGGGCAUGCCUGUCCGAGCGUCAUUGCUGCCCAUCAAGCACGGCUUGUGUGUUGGGUCCUCGUCCCCCCCGGGGGACGUGCCCGAAAGGCAGCGGCGGCACCGCGUCCGGUCCUCGAGCGUAUGGGGCUUUGUCACCCGCUCUGCAGGCCCGGCCGGCGCUGGCCGACGCGAAAGCAACCAUUUUUUCUCCAGGUUGACCUCGGAUCAGGUAGGGAUACCCGCUGAACUUAAGCAUAUCAAUAAGCGGAGGA
rnacentral:misc_RNA from 1 species